CAGUCGCCACGGGAAUACGGAGGGUGCAAGCGUUAAUCGGAAUUACUGGGCGUAAAGCGCACGCAGGCGGUCUGACAAGUCAGAUGUGAAAUCCCCGGGCUUAACCUGGGAACUGCAUUUGAAACUGUCAGGCUGGAGUCUUGUAGAGGGGGGUAGAAUUCCAGGUGUAGCGGUGAAAUGCGUAGAGAUCUGGAGGAAUACCGGUGGCGAAGGCGGCCCCCUGGACAAAGACUGACGCUCAGGUGCGAAAGCGUGGGGAGCAAACAGGAUUAGAGACCCGUGUAGUCCCUGUCUCUUAUAC
rnacentral:rRNA from 1 species